rnacentral:rRNA from 1 species
AUCAGAGGGGGAGUAACACUUGGAAACAGGUGCUAAUACCGCAUAACAGUUUAUGCCGCAUGGCAUAAGAGUGAAAGGCGCUUUCGGGUGUCGCUGAUGGAUGGACCCGCGGUGCAUUAGCUAGUUGGUGAGGUAACGGCUCACCAAGGCCGCGAUGCAUAGCCGACCUGAGAGGGUGAUCGGCCACACUGGGACUGAGACACGGCCCAGACUCCUACGGGAGGCAGCAUG